rnacentral:rRNA from 1 species
AUUGAACGCUGGCGGCAGGCCUAACACAUGCAAGUCGAGCGAGCGGCGGACGGGUGAGUAAUGUCUGGGAAACUGCCUGAUGGAGGGGGAUAACUACUGGAAACGGUAGCUAAUACCGCAUACCAUCAGAUGUGCCCAGAUGGGAUUAGCUAGUGGGUGGGGUAACGGCUCACCUAGGCGACGAUCCCUAGCUGGUCUGAGAGGAUGACCAGCAACACUGGAACUGAGAAACGGUCCAGACGCCGACGGGAGGCAGCAGUGGGGAAUAUUGCACAAUGGGCGAAAGCCUGAUGCAGCCAUGCCGCGUGAGUGAAGAAGGCCUUCGGGUUGUAAAGCACUGUCAGCGGGGAGGCGUUACCCGCAGAAGAAGCACCGGCUAACUCCGUGCCAGCAGCCGCGGUAAUAC